UGCCAGGGAUCCAAACUGGCUCGAUCAAUUUUCAGUGCAAUUAAAGUUCUAGCCUAAUCCUAACUAGUCCGAUCAAACAAUACCACGAUUUUUUACUGGCUGCCAAAAUAUUUACUUCAUAUGAGUUGAGGAAUGGAGCUUGAGUAAUUCGACGACUCUUCUCAUGGAGGGCCUGUCUGCAGGUAAUUCUGAAGUGCACGAUAAAGCCACAUUCAGUAUCCUCUUUACCUGCUGAUAUUCAAUUGCAGAUGGAAUCAGCCGAAUAUCUAAUAUCUGAUCCAAACAGACAAUAUCGAAGCUGCCAUCAACACUUUCGUUUCCUUGUUCUGGAUAUAAAAAUGCAGUCUCUGUUACCCACUGCACAAUGUCCUUGUUCUCACCAAACGAGGAAUGAUUAGGACUUUUACCGGAUAACAAUUCCAGUAACACAACCCCGAAGCUAUACACAUCACUCUUCUCGGUAACCUUCAUUGUGUGAGCAUAUUCUGCAAUUUGUUAUGUCAAACGUAAAUAUCUUGUGCAUUGUCAAUGUCAUAAUAGGAAUUCUAGAGCCUUCUACUUUUUUACAACAUAAAGUAAAUUUAAAAAGCAAUUCAGUUAAGAAAAUGGCUAUAAGAUAAAGAACCGAGAGCCUUGCCUGGAGCAAUGUAGCCGUAAGAGCCAACCACGCGAGACAUGACUUGCCCACCCUCAUCCUCGUCCUGAUGCAUUGUCUUUGCCAAACCAAAGUCAGCCAAUUUCGGCCUGAAUUCCUCGUCUAGCAAUAUGUUGUUGGGUUUAAUGUCCCUAUGCACAAUGGGAGGAACACAAUCAUGGUGCAAAUACGCGAGCCCUUGAGCAGCCCCAAGUGCAAUGGCAAAGCGCCUAGGCCAGUCCAACAAUACUCCACCCUUCUCCCCAUGGAAUACAUCUCCCAAACUCCCAUUCUCCAUGUAAUCAUAUACCAAUAUCUUGAAAUCCUCGUUGAUGCAACUAAACAACAAUUUAAUAAUGUUAGCAUGUCGAAUUUGACUCAAUGUCUCCACCUCCGACUGGAACACCCUCUCGGAUUCUGGUAGCCGCCCCACCUCCCAAAACCUCUUGGCUGCCACGGUCAGUCCACUCUUCAACCUGACUCGAUAAACCCGACCUGAUCUCCCAGUCCCAAUAAUGUUCUCACUGGUUAAAGAGGCCAACACUUCUUCUUCAUUGAACCCAACCUUCUGGAAAGAGAUGACUUUGCAAGACUGCUUAUUUUUACUUCCAAAUGCAACAAACUUCUUGGUCCUGAUUAGGAGCCAAAGAAGUGACCCAAUAAGUAUCAAUGCAAGUAUUGAUAAUAUCCCUACCAACAUCAAGCCAACGGGUUUGGAUCUUGAGCAAGGAGGAAGUGGUUUCAGAUCCGGGCUACAUAAAUCCGGGUUGCCCAUUAGACUUGAGAGAUAAAACUUUGCAUUGAAACCAAUUGGCACUUUCCCUUCAAGCCUAUUAUUGGAGACAUUAAACUUGCUAAGCUUCAGCUUAGUCAACGCCUUUGGAAUUGCUCCAGAAAGAGAAUUCCAGGAAAGAUCCAAGUUUGUUAACACGGGCAAACUCCCCAACUCUUCUGGAAUUACACCGGACAAUUGAUUGUGAGAAAAAUCCAACUCUGUGAGCUCCCUCCAAAGACUAAUAGUUUUCGGGAUUUCACCGGUGAACGUAUUCUCCUUUAUGUCAAACCUUUGUAACUUUGUCAAAUUGAUGAUACACAUGCAUUUUUAGCUAGUAGUUUUAUAUAUUUGUUAACCAAAGUACAAAAUUAAUGGUAAUUAUAACUCGUUCUAUACAUUUUUCAUUAUGAGUGGUAGAUGUCAUAACUUGGCUGACUUUUGCACAUAUACGCACCAUAUUUGAAUCGCUUCCUCUAAAUGCUUAAACUCGAAAGAAUGAAUAAAUUUAAUUAAAUUUUAUUUUCAACAGAAACUGCAUGACAUAUUUUAAGAAUUAGAGACAGACAUAAAAUCUUUAAUUUAUAAUACAUACUUUAUAGAACCCACAAUUACUACGCACUGAUUCAUCACUUAUUUGAUCAAAUUAUAAUUUUAGUAACUUAUAAUUUUAUCCAUACACUAAAUAAUAUUUCUAGUCAAGAAAAAGUUCUAAUUGAAAAAAUAUAAUCACAACAUGCGAAGUAGUCACAGAAUUUCAUCUCACUUCACAACAAUUCAACCUACUUAAUAGAAACCUCCAAAUAAAUAAGUGGAUCAAUUUUCCUCACGCAGCUCAAAACUUCAGUUCAAGUAUUCUCUGCUAAAUCGACAUUGCAAACAUGAAAAACAUUAACAGAUCAAACCUCACUAAGUUUUUCAGCUGCCAGGGAUCCAAACUGGCUCGAUCAAUUUUCAGUGCAAUUAAAGUUCUAGCCUAAUCCUAACUAGUCCGAUCAAACAAUACCACGAUUUUUUACUGGCUGCCAAAAUAUUUACUUCAUAUGAGUUGAGGAAUGGAGCUUGAGUAAUUCGACGACUCUUCUCAUGGAGGGCCUGUCUGCAGGUAAUUCUGAAGUGCACGAUAAAGCCACAUUCAGUAUCCUCUUUACCUGCUGAUAUUCAAUUGCAGAUGGAAUCAGCCGAAUAUCUAAUAUCUGAUCCAAACAGACAAUAUCGAAGCUGCCAUCAACACUUUCGUUUCCUUGUUCUGGA
rnacentral:lncRNA from 1 species